rnacentral:rRNA from 1 species
AUUGAACGCUGGCGGCAUGCCUUACACAUGCAAGUCGAACGGCAGCACGGGAGCAAUCCUGGUGGCGAGUGGCGAACGGGUGAGUAAUAUAUCGGAACGUGCCCGGUCGUGGGGGAUAACGUAGCGAAAGCUACGCUAAUACCGCAUACGAUCUACGGAUGAAAGCGGGGGAUCGCAAGACCUCGCGCGAUUGGAGCGGCCGAUAUCAGAUUAGGUAGUUGGUGAGGUAAAGGCUCACCAAGCCGACGAUCUGUAGCUGGUCUGAGAGGACGACCAGCCACACUGGGACUGAGACACGGUCCAGACUCCUACGGGAGGCAGCAGUGGGGAAUUUUGGACAAUGGGCGCAAGCCUGAUCCAGCAAUGCCGCGUG